UUUAAUUUUCUAAAAAUGUUCUUUUAAAAAUUAAUAAAUCAUAAUAAAAUCUUCUCAUACUUAGUAAAAAGAACAGAAAAGAAUACACACAACUAAAAAGUAAUGUAAAUGAAACUGACAAAAACAAAAAAGUAAGAAUAAAUACCUGUACCUUUAGCAUCAUGGUUAAAUAAAAACAAAAUAUAUAAUUAAACCCGAAAUAGGAAUGAUCUGAUUUUUUUACAAAAAGUUUAUGUAGCAACAUAAUUUUAAGAUAAAAAAAUAGAGGUGAAACUCCAACCGAACCCUAAGAUAGCUGGUUUCUUGAAAAAAACAUCUAAGUGUUACGGCUAUUAUACAUAUUUAAUAAAUAUAAUAAAAAAAUAAAGAAAUAGCCAGGCAAAAAAUUAAGGAUAAGCUUAAUUUUAAACUAAGGAAAAAUAAUAAAAAAACAAAGUAGGCUUAAAAUCAGCAACCUUAUUAAAAAUCGUUAUAUAUUAGGACCAUAGAUCCAAUAAAACAAAUUAAAAUAAUAUUAUCCCUGUUUGUAAUAAAUCAAGAUAUUUUGACACGUCUAUCAACACAAAAAAAGAAUUUUUAAACGAGUAAUACAUAUAUUAAACAAAAAUAAUCAAUUUAAAUUUAAAUAAAAUGAAAAAAGAAAAAAAUAAGAUAAAAUAAAAAAAGGAACUCGGCAAACACAUAUUCCACCUGUUUACCAAAAACAUGGCUCUUUGUAUAAAAAAAUAUAGAGUCACACCUGCUCAAUGAUUAAUUUUAAUUAAAUAGCCGCGGUACCCUGACCGUGCAAAGGUAGCAUAAUCACUUGCCUUUUAAUUGAUGGCUGGCAUGAAUGGUAUGAUGAGAAUAAGACUGUCUCUUUUUUAAUCUAUUGAAACUACCCAUUAGGUGAAAAGGCCUAAAUAAACUUACAAGACAAUAAGACCCUAUCGAGCUUUAAAUAUUUAACUUACCAUAAAACAAAAUAAAAAAAGAAUUAUAUUUUUAGUUGGGGCGACUCGGGAACAAAAAAGCUUCCCUUAAAAAAUUAACUCACAAGUAAUGACCCGGAUGAUCCGAUCAAAGAAAAAAGCUACCGUAGGGAUAACAGCGUAAUUUUCUUUGUGAGCUCUUAUUAAAAAGAAAGUUUGCGACCUCGAUGUUGGAUUAAGGUAUCCUAAAGGUGCAGCAGCCUUUAAGGGUUGGUUUGUUCAACCAUUAAAACCUUACAUGAUCUGAGUUCAAACCGGCGUAAGCCAGGUUGGUUUAUAUCUGUAAAACUAAACUAAAAAUAGUACGAAAGGAUUUUUUUAGGAAAAAAUUUCAAAAAAAGAAUUCAUAUAACAGUCGUCGUGUAGUCGGCGUCAGUUAAAUU
rnacentral:rRNA from 1 species